rnacentral:lncRNA from 1 species
UGCCCAACAAAUAAGUAAAUCUUUAAAUAUACCGUAGUGCCCAGGCAGUGGUGGUCAGCACUCAAGAGGCUGAGGCAGAUGGAUCUCUGUGAGUUCAAGGACAGCCUAGUCAACAGAGCAAGUUCUAGAACAACCAGGGCUAAGAGAGAAACCCUGUCUUGGAAAACGAGCACACACAUUGUUGUAUUCUGUGUGGGUAUCUGCGGGUAUGUACAUGUGAAUGCAGAUACCCAAGGAGACCAGAAGGUUUCUGAUCCCUGGCUCUGGAUUACAUGCAGCCAUGAGCUCCCUGGUGUGAGUGCUGGGAGCCAAACCAGGUUCUCUGCAAGAGCAGUUACUGGUUACCCUUGGGUUCCUGCCUGUUCUUCCAUGGACUACCAGGUCAUAUAGGGUAGUGAUUUUGCCUUUUUGGGUCGCUUGCUUCUCUGGGACAGUGUUAGUCACAGGAGGCACCUGUGGGGUCAUCUGUUGGCCACAUGCACUGGCGAGCAAAGCCGGGAAACAAGAAAUCCACCCUGUGGUGUUUACACCAGUUGUCUUUUACAGGUCUCAGCCUGGGAUGACCGCAUAGCAGAAGGCACAUUUCCUGGGAAGAUCUGACCUGGCUCCGCCCACCUCUCCUCUGCUCUUUGACCUUCUCCCCGAUAGAAAAGGGGGACCUCAGUAUAUGAUGGUCCCUACCCUGGGACCCUGAAUCAUGAUGCAACUACUAAUAAAAACUCACUGGAAAGGUU